ACGAACGCUGGCGGCGUGCUUAACACAUGCAAGUCGAGCGGUAAGGCCCUUUCGGGGGUACACGAGCGGCGAACGGGUGAGUAACACGUGGGUGACCUGCCCUCAGCUCUGGGAUAAGCCUGGGAAACUGGGUCUAAUACCGGAUAUGACUUCGCAUCGCAUGGUGUGGGGUGGAAAGUUUUUCGGCNGGGAUGGGCCCGCGGCCUAUCAGCUUGUUGGUGGGGUGAUGGCCUACCAAGGCGACGACGGGUAGCCGGCCUGAGAGGGCGACCGGCCACACUGGGACGUGAGACACGGCCCAGACUCCUACGGGAGGGCAGCAGUGGGGAAGUAUUGCGCAAUGGGCGGAAGCCUGACGCAGCGACGCCGCGUGGGGGAUGACGGCCGUUCG
rnacentral:rRNA from 1 species